UGCUGCAAACUGAGCAAUUGCACUCACUGGCAGUUCGUAACAAAACCUCUAAGCCUACCCUGGAGACAGCUCUGACAGUCUCCUGAUGAGCAAGCCCACUGAACCGAGACUAAAGCUGAAAAACUAAAAAAAAAAAAGGACAGGCAGCGAAAGUGACAGCGGACUCCGUGGUCUUUGUCGGGGGAAUUAGACGCGGUAACAAGAGCCGCCAUCGCUUCUUUUUGACCCCCGCCUGCUGCCACGGUGACGGCCGCCGGGCUCCCGAACCGAAUAGCCGACAAGCCUGGCGACAAGUAAAAAUGUCAGCAGUACUGGGUUCGCAGAGAAGGAAAUCCAGACAGACGUUCUGCAUUCCACAUCAAGUGGCUAACCGAGGAUCAGCAUUCCAGGGACAGCAGAGACUGGGGGACAGACAGAGACAGACAGAGGACAGACGGACAUGGGCUCCAUCUGCUGUGCCGCCUGGUCUCCAAGCCUGGGCCGAGUGCUGACCCCUCUUCCUCCCUUACCGCUACAACGCCGCCGUAGCACUGCUGAUGCCGCCUGCUUCUACCAAACGACAAUAAAGGUUACUUCACCCGUU